UCUCGAUUGGUCUAGUGGUCAGGAUACCUGCUUGUCAUCUACCAAAGACAAGUCGCAGGUGGCCGGGGUUCGAUUCCCCGAUCGAGAG